GGGGGCACUGGGAUGGACUGGGACUGGGGGCACUGGGAGCACUGGGAGCACUGGGAGGGACUGGGACAUACUGGGACUGGGGGCACUGGGAGCACUGGGAGGGACUGGGAGGGACUGGGGGUACUGGGGGAGACUGGGACAUACUGGGACUGGGGGUACUGGGGGCACUGGGCUGUACUGGGUUGUACUGGUCAUACUGGUGGCACUGGUGGUACUGGGAGCCCUGGUGGUACUGGUGGCACUGGUGGCACUGGGUUGUACUGGGCUGUACUGGUGGCACUGGUGGCACUGGGGAUACUGGUGGUGAUACUGGUGAUACUGGGAGCACUGGUGGCACUGGGAGCACUGGUUAUACUGGUGAUACUGGGAGCACUGGUGAUACUGGGAGCACUGGUGGUUCUGGUGCUGAUACUGGUGGUACUGGUGAUACUGGGAGCACUGGUGGCGCUGGGUUGUACUGGGUUGUACUGGUCAUACUGGUGGCACUGGUGGCACUGGGGAUACUGGAAGUACUGGUGAUACUGGUGGUGGUACUGGUGAUACUGGGAGCACUGGUGCUACUGGUUGCACUGGUGAUACUGGUCAUACUGGUGAUACUGGUGGUACUGGUGGCACUGGUGGCACUGGUGAUACUGGGUUGUACUGGUGAUACUGGUGGCACUGGUGGUACUGGGAGCCCUGAUGAUACUGGUGGCACUGGUGGUACUGGUUGUACUGGGAGCACUGGAGGCACUGGGUUGUACUGGUCAUACUGGUGAUACUGGUGGUACUGGGAGCUCUGGAGACACUGGGAGCACUGGUGAUACUGGUCAUACUGGUGAUACUGGUGGUACUGGUGGCACUGGGUUGUACUGGGUUGUACUGGUCAUCCUGGAGGUACUGGUGAUACUGGGAGCACUGGUGGUACUGGGAGCACUGGUCAUACUGGUGGUACUGGGCCGUACUGGGUUGUACUGGUCAUACUGGUGGUGGUACUGGUGAUACUGGGAGCACUGGUGAUACUGGUGGCACUGGGCUGUACUGGGUUGUACUGGUCAUACUGGUGGCACUGGUGAUACUGGGAGCACUGGGUUCCCUGGAGACACUGGGAGCACUGGUGAUACUGGUCAUACUGGUGGUACUGGUGGUACUGGGAGCACUGGAGACACUGGUGGCACUGGUGAUACUGGUGGUACUGGGAGCAGUGGGCUGUACUGGGUUGUACUGGUCAUACUGGUGGCACUGGUGGUACUGGGAGCCCUGGUGGUACUGGUGAUACUGGUGGCACUGGGUUGUACUGGGCUGUACUGGUGGCACUGGUGGCAAUGGGGAUACUGGUGGUGAUACUGGUGAUACUGGGAGCACUGGUGGCACUGGGAGCACUGGUGGUACUGGUGAUACUGGGAGCACUGGUGGUACUGGGAGCACUGGUGGUUCUGGUGCUGAUACUGGUGGUACUGGUGAUACUGGGAGCACUGGUGGCGCUGGGUUGUACUGGGUUGUACUGGUCAUACUGGAGGCACUGGUGGUACUGGGGAUACUGGGAGUACUGGUGAUACUGGUGGUGGUACUGGUGAUACUGGUGGCACUGGUGCUACUGGGUUGUACUGGGUUGUACUGGUCAUACUGGUGGUACUGGUGGCACUGGAUUGUACUGGGUUGUACUGGUCCUACUGGUGGCACUGGGGAUACUGGGAGCACUGGUGAUACUGGUGGUACUGGUGACACUGGGAGCACUGGUGGUACUGGGAGCACUGGUGAUACUGCUGACACUGGUGGCACUGGGUUGUACUGGUCAUACUGGUGAUACUGGUGGUACUGGGAGCUCUGGAGACACUGGGAGCACUGGUGAUAAUGGUCAUACUGGUGAUACUGGUGGUACUGGUGGCACUGGGCUGUACUGGGUUGUACUGGUGAUACUGGUGGCACUGGUGGCACUGGGCUGUACUGGGUUGUACUGGUCAUACUGGUGGCACUGGUGAUACUGGCGGUACUGGUGGCACUGGGCUGUAAUGGUGGUGUGCAGGACCCCUUCAGGCCCCGCCCCCUUCAGGCAACAUCCAAUCAGGCCACGCCCUCUCAAGCCACGCCCAUGACAGGCCCCGCCCCACUUUGCCGCAAUGUCCAAUCCGGCCCCGCCCCCCCGCGCGCUUUGGCCCCGCCCACUUUGAUUAACGCCCAAUCGCGCCCCGCCCCGAUUAUGCCCCG
rnacentral:lncRNA from 1 species